CAGGCGGGAACCAUUGGUGAAAAUUCAAAAUUUUUCAUCAAAAUGUUUCAUGAGUUGAGUUUUGAAAAAAAAGAAAAGGCUUUUUGACCAUCCACAACAAUUUUCGACUAUUUUUUAAAUUUUUUGAAAAACGACUCCGAAACCAAAAGUGGUGGGGGGUGGGACCACAGCGCCAAAGGAGACUAUUAGGGAAAACUAAUAAUAUAUAUAUUCUAUGAUCAGGUGAAUCAGAAAAUCAGUGGUAUCGCAGUAGUUGAUCUUUUUUCAAAGAGAAAACACACAGACACGAAAACUGAAUAUUUAUUUGAUAACCCUAAUUUCAAUUUACAGAAUUUUUUACAGCGAAUUCACUAGAAGCACAAUGUCUAAUCGAGGCCAAAGAUUCCAGUUCUUAAAUAAUAAUACUAAAUUUUAUUUAAUUAUAUUCAGCUAUUCUUGGGUUUCACUACGGCAUUAUGCAGUGAAUCUGACGGGGGGUCAACCUCAAAUGUAUUGAUGCUUGUGCUGUACUGGAGUGAGAAAAUGAUCCAAAAUUCCACGUAUUUGGUACCAAACACAAGGCUAAUACAUAAAACGAAAAAUUGACUCACUCUGAUAAUUGUGUUUUGUUUUAAGGCCAUGUUACACGGUGCAAUUUUUCUUGCAACUUGCAAUGCAAUUCUGCUCUUGAGAGAUGUUAAUUAGUGAAAUCAGUGAAGAAUUUUCGAUAUGUUGAAAAAACAUCAGCGGAGUGUAAUGAAGACUCGUAUUUGGCAAUUUUACAUCUCUCAAGAGUAGAAUUACAUUGCAAGUUGCAAGAAAAAUUGCACCGUGUAACAUGGCCUUUAGAGUUGACUCCCCGUCACUUCUGUGACGUCAUAUGAAACCCAGGAAUAGCUAAUCUCCCACUGGACCUUCUACAAAGACAGAAGAAAAAAACACCCCUAUUUGGCAAACAUCUUUUCAAAUUUUUUUAUUGUUUGUGGUUAACCAACCGACUGCCAGGCUAUAUUUUUGCCCAAAUAGCACCAGGGGCACACCCACCGCCAUUCCUUCCUUGUUAUUGACCCAUGAUUUUUUUCAACUCUGUGUCUGCAUAUGUAGCAUACUGUUGUUUGAUGUACCUGGUUGACCGUACCCCUGGUUCACACAUGAAGUACCAGUGGAAUCAGUUCUUAUUCUACUGGCACCAGGAAAGAGUUCUUAUAUAAAGGUCAUAUUCAUUCAUAUACAGGGUGUCUCAAAAAAAAAAACGCUACGGAAAUUCAACAGGCUGUCGUGCAUCACUGAUAAACUUAGCUAAACAAUUCAUUUUUUACAUAGGACGAAAGAUCUGUUAUUUAGCUUCUCUAUGAUACCUUUUUUAAAUUGUAACGAUGAAAAAUGGCCACAUACACGUCAAAUAAAAAUUGCCGGUCGAAAUCACAUUCUUCCACCGUUGGGAAUUGAAAAUACAUUAAUUAUGCAAAAAAGUUCUUAUUGAGUCAUUGUCUCACUAAGACGAAGAUUGACGAGUUGAACUCAUUUUAGAUAAUUUAACAUUCAAUUUUAAUUCCCUCUUGG